rnacentral:rRNA from 1 species
UACAGAGGUCCCAAGCGUUGUUCGGAUUCAUUGGGCGUAAAGGGUGUGUAGGUGGCGCCGUAAGUCGGGUGUGAAAUCUCGGGGCUUAACUCCGAAACUGCAUUCGAUACUGCGGUGCUUGAGGACUGGAGAGGAGACUGGAAUUCAUGGUGUAGCAGUGAAAUGCGUAGAGAUCAUGAGGAACACCGGUGGCGAAGGCGGGUCUCUGGGCAACAACUGACGCUGAGGAGCGAAAGCGUGGGGAGCGAACAGG